ensembl:misc_RNA
CUGUGCCUCCUGAUUGCUGAGUCUUCACCUGGACCUUCUGACUACCUUCCUUGUGCUAUAUUCCAUCAGCCUACAGAUCUGGUACCUGGAUUUUUACCCAUGGUGAUUCCUGCCACCUUACUACUGAAGAAGACACCAUUCCAGUGGACCACUGUGACCUAAGAGGCAUUCAGCCAUCAUGAUGUGGCCUUUACCUCCACUCCUGUCCUGUUCUACCCAGAUUCAGCACAGCUCUAUA